rnacentral:lncRNA from 1 species
GUUAACAUGUGUUAUUAGUUAACAUGUUUUUUUCAUUACCAAUUGUAAGAAAAGUAGUAGACGAGCAUUGGGUGGUGAACAUACUGUUUCAAUUGUAACCUAUGAUACUCAUUAACAAGUGUACAUACCUUUACUGUUACUUGAAAACAAUAAGCAAUUGUAACAUAUGUUACACAUCUUACGUAAGUAUAUGCAGUACAUGGUGGAACAUGUAAAGUAACAUGUGUUACAUACGAUGUAGUGAAUAAAAAACAAGGCACAUAUAUAGUGAAUAACAUACGUAUAGAUGUAACACGAGUAUAUGCGCCACAAAGGCAUACGCAUGUUACAUGUGUGUAUGAAAUACACUUGGUAUAUAUAAAACACUUAGUAUAUGUA